rnacentral:rRNA from 1 species
ACGAACGCUGGCGGCGUGGAUAAGACAUGCAAGUCGAACGAGAGAAUUGCUAGCUUGCUAAUAAUUCUCUAGUGGCGCACGGGUGAGUAACACGUGAGUAACCUGCCCCCGAGAGCGGGAUAGCCCUGGGAAACUGGGAUUAAUACCGCAUAGUAUCGAAAGAUUAAAGCAGCAAUGCGCUUGGGGAUGGGCUCGCGGCCUAUUAGUUAGUUGGUGAGGUAACGGCUCACCAAGGCGAUGACGGGUAGCCGGUCUGAGAGGAUGUCCGGCCACACUGGAACUGAGACACGGUCCAGACACCUACGGGUGGCAGCAGUCGAGAAUCAUUCACAAUGGGGGAAACCCUGAUGGUGCGACGCCGCGUGGGGGAAUGAAGGUCUUUGGAUUGUAAACCCCUGUCAUGUGGGAGCAAAUUAAAAAGAUAGUACCACAAGAGGAAGAGACGGCUAACUCUGUGCCAGCAGCCGCGGUAAUACAGAGGUCUCAAGCGUUGUUCGGAAUCACUGGGCGUAAAGCGUGCGUAGGCUGUUUCGUAAGUCGUGUGUGAAAGGCGCGGGCUCAACCCGCGGACGGCACAUGAUACUGCGAGACUAGAGUAAUGGAGGGGGAACCGGAAUUCUCGGUGUAGCAGUGAAAUGCGUAGAUAUCGAGAGGAACACUCGUGGCGAAGGCGGGUUCCUGGACAUUAACUGACGCUGAGGCACGAAGGCCAGGGGAGCGAAAGGGAUUAGAUACCCCUGUAGUCCUGGCAGUAAACGGUGCACGCUUGGUGUGCGGGGAAUCGACCCCCUGCGUGCCGGAGCUAACGCGUUAAGCGUGCCGCCUGGGGAGUACGGUCGCAAGAUUAAAACUCAAAGAAAUUGACGGGGACCCGCACAAGCGGUGGAGUAUGUGGCUUAAUUCGAUGCAACGCGAAGAACCUUACCUGGGCUUGACAUGUAAUGAACAACAUGUGAAAGCAUGCGACUCUUCGGAGGCGUUACACAGGUGCUGCAUGGCCGUCGUCAGCUCGUGUCGUGAGAUGUUUGGUUAAGUCCAGCAACGAGCGCAACCCCUGUUGCCAGUUACCAGCACGUGAAGGUGGGGACUCUGGCGAGACUGCCCAGAUCAACUGGGAGGAAGGUGGGGACGACGUCAGGUCAGUAUGGCCCUUAUGCCCAGGGCUGCACACGUACUACAAUGCCCAGUACAGAGGGGGCCGAAGCCGCGAGGCGGAGGAAAUCCUGAAAACUGGGCCCAGUUCGGACUGUAGGCUGCAACCCGCCUACACGAAGCCGGAAUCGCUAGUAAUGGCGCAUCAGCUACGGCGCCGUGAAUACGUUCCCGGGUCUUGUACACACCGCCCGUCACAUCAUGGAAGCCGGUCGCACCCGAAGUAUCUGAAGCCAACCGCAAGGAGGCAGGGUCCUAAGGUGAGACUGGUAACUGGGAUG